rnacentral:rRNA from 1 species
GAUUUCUGACUUGAAACAUUUUGCCGGCCACGGUUUCGUGUGUUAGUGCUUGAUGUUCUGGUCAUCCUUCCAAUCGCUAUUGACUAUUCUUCAUUGAUUGGUCAGUGGUAUUGGAUCUUUUACUUUGAAAAAAUUAGAGUGUUUCAAGCAGGCUUUAUGCUAUGAAUACAUUAGCAUGGAAUAAUAAUUUAGGACUUCGGUUCUAUUUUGUUGGUUUCUAGGACUGAAGUAAUGAUUGAUAGGGAUAGUUGGGGGUGCUAGUAUUCAGAGGCCAGAGGUGAAAUUCUUGGAUUCUCUGAAGACUAACUUAUGCGAAAGCAUU